GCCGUCAGAUCUCAUUCGGCUAAUCAGAUACAGCGUUAUUGCAGCUGUGUUGGAGUUGGCAGGUAGUUAAACGGGUGAGUAGGGGACUGCAGUGUCUCGGCGUCUCUCUCCCCCUGAGUCCAGGUCUCUGGCUGGAACACGGUGACCUAUAGCUGCUCUUGGCAGAGUCGUGGGGUUACCAGAAGGGCAGAACUGCACUCCCAGUCUGGCAUCUUGAGCUCUAUGGAGCGAAGCGGCUAACUUGCAGACUUCCUGCUUUCUUGCAGUCUAGCAUCCUCCUAAAAUCGGAGGUCAAAGUGGCGUUGAAACCGAGCAUGGUGUGCUGAUGUCCUGACGUGAAAGCGUCUCGCAGCGUGAAGCUUCCGUUAAACCCAUGUGCACGGUUAGAAAACAAAAGAGUCUGGGACAGAGAGAGAGAGAGAGAGAGAGAGAGAGAGAGAGAGAGAGAGAGAGAGAGAGAGAGAGAGAGAGAGAGAGAGAGAGAGAUCGGCCAAGUACGUUGACACUGAUGGCAUCAUAUGCACUCAUGCUGAAAGGUUUGUCAUAGCAUUUUCCCGAGGCAGG